rnacentral:rRNA from 1 species
GACGAACGCUGGCGGCGUGCUUAGCACAUGCAAGUCGAACGGUAAGGCCCUUCGGGGUACACGAGUGGCGAACGGGUGAGUAACACGUGUGUGAUCUGCCCUGCACUUCGGGAUAAGCCUGGGAAACUGGGUCUAAUACCGGAUAGGACCCUGGGAUGCAUGUCCUGGGGUGGAAAGCUUUUGCGGUGUGGGAUGGGCCCGCGGCCUAGCAGCUUGUUGGUGGGGUGAUGGCCUACCAAGGCGACGACGGGUAGCCGGCCUGAGAGGGUGAACGGCAACACUGGGACGGAGAUCCGGCCCAGGCUCCUCCGGGAGGCAGCAGUGAGGAAGAUUGAACAAUGAGCGCAAGCCUGAUGCAGCGACGCCGCGUGAGGGAUGACGGCCUUCGGGUUAUAAACCUCUUUCAGCACCGACGAAGCGCAAGUGACGGUAGGUGCAGAAGAAGGACCGGCCAACUACGUGCCAGCCGCCGCCGUAA